AUCCAGCUGACGAGCCCCAAAAUAAGCCGAAACGCGCAUCCUGGAU
rnacentral:hammerhead_ribozyme from 1 species